CCUACGGGUGGCAGCAGUGAGGAAUAUUGGUCAAUGGACGCGAGUCUGAACCAGCCAAGCAGCGUGCAGGAAGACGGCUCUAUGAGUUGUAAACUGCUUUUGUACAGGGGUAAACGCAGAUACGUGUGUCUUUCUGAAAGUAUCUUACGAAUAAGGAUCGGCUAACUCCGUGCCAGCAGCCGCGGUAAUACGGAGGAUUCAAGCGUUAUCCGGAUUUAUUGGGUUUAAAGGGUGCGUAGGCGGGCGGUUAAGUUAGAGGUGAAAUUCGGAGGCUCAACUUCGGAAUUGCAUUUGAUACUGUUCGGCUAGAGAGUAGUUGCGGUAGGCGGAAUGCAUGGUGUAGCGGUGAAAUGCUUAGAGAUCAUAAAGAACACCGAUUGCGAAGGCAGCUUACCAAGCUACUUCUGACGUUGAGGCACGAAAGCGUGGGGAGCAAACAGGAUUAGAUACCCGUGUAGUC
rnacentral:rRNA from 1 species